rnacentral:tRNA from 1 species
ACCCUGGUGGUCCAGUGGUUAAGACUCUGCUCUUCCACUGCACGUGGCACGGGUUCAAUUCCUGGUCAGGGAA